GCAGCAGCCACGGUAAUACGGAGGGUGCAAGCGUUAAUCGGAAUUACUGGGCGUAAAGCGCACGCAGGCGGUCUGACAAGUCAGAUGUGAAAUCCCCGGGCUUAACCUGGGAACUGCAUUUGAAACUGUCAGGCUGGAGUCUUGUAGAGGGGGGUGGAAUUCCAGGUGUAGCGGUGAAAUGCGUAGAGAUCUGGAGGAAUACCGGUGGCGAAGGCGGCCCCCUGGACAAAGACUGACGCUCAGGUGCGAAAGCGUGGGGAGCAAACAGGAUUAGAUACCCCAGUAGUCCCUGUCUCUUAUAC
rnacentral:rRNA from 1 species